UUCUUAAUGUAAUAAUUUUAAGUAAUACCUGCUCAAUGAUUUAUUUUAAAUAGCCGCAGAAAUUUAACUGUGCUAAGGUAGCAUAAUCAUUAGUCCAUUAAUUGUGGACUUGUAUGAAUGGUAUAACAUUUCAAUUUCUUUAUUAAUUUAUUUUAUCUAAUUUUAAUUAAGAAUUAAAAUGUUCUUAUUUUUUAAAAAGACGACAAGACCCUAUUGAACUUUACUUUAGUUUAGCUGGGGCAGCUAAAAAAUAAUAAUCUUCUUAAUUUUUUUUUAAUAAAUGAUCCAAUAAAAUUGAUUUUAUGAACAAGUUACCAUAGGGAUAACAGCGUAAUAUUUUAUUUAAGUUCUUAUUUAAUAAAAUGAUUGCGACCUCGAUGUUGAAUUAAUAUAACUUUAUAAAUGCAAUAAUUUUAAAAGUAGGUCUGUUCGACCUUUAAAAUAUUACAU
rnacentral:rRNA from 1 species